AACGAACGCUGGCGGCGUGCUUAACACAUGCAAGUCGAACGUGAGAGUGGAACAAGCGCUUCGGUGUGAGUUCUGCUUGAAAGUGGCGGACGGGUGAGUAACACGUGGGUAACCUGCCUUGGAGUGGGGGAUAACCAUUGGAAACGAUGGCUAAUACCGCAUGGGUCUGUGACGAUGGGAAUCGUUGCGGGUAAAGCUCAGGCGCUUCAAGAGGGGCCUGCGGCCGAUUAGCUAGUUGGUGAGGUAAAGGCUCACCAAGGCGAAGAUCGGUAGCUGGUCUGAGAGGACGAUCAGCCACACGGGAACUGAGAAACGGUCCCGACUCCUACGGGGGCAGCAGUGAGGAAUAUUGCACAAUGGGGGAACCCGG
rnacentral:rRNA from 1 species